GCGGAGGUGGCGGAGAGCCAUAAAAGAACCUUCCCCAUUCACUACAGGGAAUUUCCAUUUGCUGUUGGAGCUGUCCGCUAGAGAGGACUAGGAGGUGGGUGGAUCUAGGUGGAGGAAGGCUGUGGGGCUGCUAGCGGCGGAGGAUCCGCGGUGGCCCGGCCGGAUCUGGCCGGGAUGCCGGAGGUGGCGGCGGGUGGUGGGCACGGUGGUCGGGGACAUCUUACCUCACGAAGGAUUAUAUAGUUGUCCAAACAAUCACUCGAAGAGCCAGAACGGUUGUACUUCGAUCAAUAUAAAAAUGGAGGCUUAAGAGUGCUAGCUUGGAAGCUGCAUUCGAGCACAAGAAGUUGAGAAUUAGCGUGCACACUUCCAUUAAUAUCUCCGGUUAGCGCAGAAAACAACACUUAACAAUCUUAAUCCACUUCUCUCCGAUCCAUUUGCCAAAUUGCC
rnacentral:lncRNA from 1 species